GAUGAACGCUGGCGGCGUGCCUAAUACAUGCAAGUCGAGCGAACAGACGAGGAGCUUGCUCCUCUGACGUUAGCGGCGGACGGGUGAGUAACACGUGGAUAACCUACCUAUAAGACUGGGAUAACUUCGGGAAACCGGAGCUAAUACCGGAUAAUAUAUUGAACCGCAUGGUUCAAUAGUGAAAGACGGUUUUGCUGUCACUUAUAGAUGGAUCCGCGCCGCAUUAGCUAGUUGGUAAGGUAACGGCUUACCAAGGCAACGAUGCGUAGCCGACCUGAGAGGGUGAUCGGCCACACUGGAACUGAGACACGGUCCAGACUCCUACGGGAGGCAGCAGUAGGGAAUCUUCCGCAACGGGCGAAAACCUGACGGAGCAACGCCGCGUGAGUGAUGAAGGUCUUCGGAUCGUAAAACUCUGUUAUUAGGGAAGAACAAAUGUGUAAGUAACUAUGCACGUCUUGACGGUACCUAAUCAGAAAGCCACGGCUAACUACGUG
rnacentral:rRNA from 1 species